rnacentral:rRNA from 1 species
AUUGAACGCUGGCGGCAGGCCUAACACAUGCAAGUCGAGCGGAUGAAGGGAGCUUGCUCCUGGAUUCAGCGGCGGACGGGUGAGUAAUGCCUAGGAAUCUGCCUGGUAGUGGGGGAUAACGUCCGGAAACGGGCGCUAAUACCGCAUACGUCCUGAGGGAGAAAGUGGGGGAUCUUCGGACCUCACGCUAUCAGAUGAGCCUAGGUCGGAUUAGCUAGUUGGUGGGGUAAAGGCCUACCAAGGCGACGAUCCGUAACUGGUCUGAGAGGAUGAUCAGUCACACUGGAACUGAGACGCGGUCCAGACUCCUACGGGAGGCAGCAGUGGGGAAUAUUGGACAAUGGGCGAAAGCCUGAUCCAGCCAUGCCGCGUGUGUGAAGAAGGUCUUCGGAUUGUAAAGCACUUUAAGUUGGGAGGAAGGGCAGUAAGUUAAUUCCUUGCUGUUUUGACGUUACCAACAGAAUAAGCACCGGCUAACUUCGUG